rnacentral:rRNA from 1 species
CAGGCCUAACACAUGCAAGUCGAACGAAGCUUUUGGUUUACCAUAAGUUUAGUGGCGGACGGGUGAGUAACGCGUAAGAACCUACCUUUUGGUUGAGGGAUACCAACUGGAAACGGUUGCUAAUACUUCGUAUGCUGAGAAGUGAAAGGUGGAAACAUCGCCAAGAGAGGGGCUUGCGUCUGAUUAGCUAGUUGGUAAGGUAAAGGCUUACCAAGGCUAUGAUCAGUAGCUGGUUUGAGAGGACGAUCAGCCACACUGGGACUGAGACACGGCCCAGAUCCCUACGGGGAGCAGCAGUGAGGAAUCUUCCGCAAUGGGCGAAAGCCUGACGGAGCACUAUCGCGUGGAGGAAGACGGCUCGUGAGUUGUAAACUCCUUUUGUCAGAGAAGAAAACUGACGGUAUCUGACGAAUAAGCAUCGGCUAAACUCUGUGCCAGCAGCCGCGGUAAU